UCAAACCUUCUCACCCUUCUUCUUCAUUUCUUUUUCAUUCGCAUUCCACAUGGAGCAAACUCCUCUCUUAUCUUUCAAGUUAAAGCAGUCUAACCAACCCCGCAUCACUUCUCAAGCAUCAUCACACAGGCACGAAGCUAAUGCACAUUCUCCAAGGUUCAAUUUUGCAUUUGUAUUCACGCUUUUGUUUACACACAAAUUAAUGCAAUGUUUACAAUCAUAAAGUUGUGUGUGUUGAAAUGAAGAAUCAGUUGUUCAUGGACUAUCUGAAACGAUCGUUGUAGUUUCGGGUAGAAAUGAAGCUCCGUCGUAACUGAAGAAGCGAUUCCACAACACAUUCAUACAUUUCAUUUUUCAUCACAAACCCUAAUUCACAUCGAGAUCCGAACGAGUAUAGUAGAGUUUCGGAGAGAUCCGAAUCUUCAAUGGCACAUUGAAGAGCGAAAUUGCUGUUCCUUCUCUGCGCUCUUUGUUAUGCACUCAAUUCCUUUGCCGUAAAGAGCUAUUACGAUAUACUGCAAGUGUCGAAGAGUGCGGGGGAUGAUCAGAUUAAGAAAGCGUAUAGGAAACUGGCAUUGAAGUAUCAUCUUGAUAAGAAUCCGGGGAAUGAAGAAGCUAAUAAGAAAUUUGCGGAGAUUAACAAUGGUAUUAAUAGCACCGUUAUUGCUCAUGGAGCUAGAGGCAGUGGCAAAACUCAAUUAAUUCA